rnacentral:rRNA from 1 species
UCGAAACCUGCCCAGCAGAGCGACCCGUGAACAUGUUUAAAAUCAUGGGUGUUGGGGUGUUGCUAGGUGCCAUGUGUGUCUGCUCACCCCUAUCCCAAGCCGAGGGGCGGUCUCUUGUGGGCUGCUCCCUUAGCACAACAACGAACCCCGGCGCGUAAUGCGUCAAGGAAUACAAACAUUAUGUGUGUGCUCUCCUUCUGCCCGGUUAGCCGUGCGUUGGAGUGGUGCCAUGUCUUAACAAUA